GCAUAUCAAUAAGCGGAGGAAAAGAAACUAACCAGGAUUGCUUCAGUAAGGGCGACUGAAGUGGCAAUAGCUCACCAUGUGAAUCUGCGUAAGCCGAAUUGUGGUUUCGCUUGUGUUAAGGGCUGGGCCAAGUCCGUUGGAACACGGCAGCUGAGAGGGUGAGACUCCCGUUUGCCUGGCCCUUGGGACAAGUGUGUUCGAGUCGAGUUGUUUGGGAAU
rnacentral:rRNA from 1 species